GUGAGGAAUAUUGGGCAAUGGGCGAAAGCCUGACCCAGCCACGACGCGUGAGUGAUGAAGGCCUUCGGGUUGUAAAGCUCUGGGGGGAGGGAAGAAAAAGCGCAGGAGUAACUGCCUGUGUGUUGACGGUACCUCCUUAGCAAGCACCGGCUAACUCUGUGCCAGCAGCCGCGGUAAUACAGAGGGUGCAAACGUUGCUCGGAAUUACUGGGCGUAAAGCGCGUGUAGGCUGACAUGCAAGUCGGGUGUGAAAUCCCAGGGCUCAACCUUGGAACGGCACUCGAAACUGCACGUCUUGAGUACUGGAGAGGGAAGCGGAAUUCCGGGUGUAGAGGUGAAAUUCGUAGAUAUCCGGAGGAACACCAGUGGCGAAGGCGGCUUCCUGGACAGUAACUGACGCUGAGACGCGAAAGCGUGGGGAGCAAACAGGAUUAGAAACCCGUGUAGUCC
rnacentral:rRNA from 1 species